rnacentral:rRNA from 1 species
UUAAACCCAAUUAUAUCUCUAACCACUAUAACCAUUUAACCACUUAGAACUUAUAUACUUGGUUUUAGGUUGGGGCGACCACGGAGCACAACCAAACCUCCACGAUGAACGGAACAACCCCCUUAUCUGAGAAUUACACUUCUAAGAAUUAGCACACUAACAUAAAAUGACCCAUUAUUGAUCAACGAACCAAGUUACCCUGGGGAUAACAGCGCAAUCCAUUUUAAGAGCCCCUAUCGACAAAU